UGUCAUCCUCGCAAUCGACUGCAUCGACAUCAAACGGAUUGCUAUACCAAUUCGGAAUAUUCAGCACAAUAACAUCUUGAAAUCGCUCCACCAUGUUAUCGUGCAAUGAUUGUAAACAGCUGCGAUAUGUAGUUAAAUCCUCAUCAACUAAUUCAUCUAAGUUAUGGAAAUUGAUGGAAUGAUGUUUUGAAAUGUUAGUCUUAUACAACACCAAUUUCGUAAAGAAGGUGGUGAUAAACGAUUUACAAUCAAUGAGAGUUUUUCUGUUUCCUUGUAAUAACUUAUUCAAAUCAUUUGAUUUUGUGAAUAUAUCACAAAGAAAAAAGAUAUCACACCUUGCAGCCAUCAGUGAAGCGGAUAGUGGAGUAUCUUCAAAGAAAGAGAUGAUUAUAUGAAACAGUUCAACAAAGCGUAAAACACAGUUUCCUUUUGACAGCCACCGGACUUCAAUUUGGUAUAAAAGUUUAGUAUGGUCCUCAUCAUUUCUCAGACAGAGUUGACGGAAAAUUCGAUCAGACAAAGAACUGGAUUUUAAUUUGUUCACAGUCUUGAUAACUAAUUGUAGCGCAUCAUUCAACCUACCGUUCAUAUUUUUUGCCACUAAAUGUUGCCGGUGUGCCAAGCAAUGAACCUUUAGUAUUUGGUGGGAAAUUUAACGCUUUAGGAGAGAUGAAAAACCUCUGUAUUUUCUUAUCAUCGAAGGGGCUCCAUCAGACGCACAGGCAAGGAUAUUACUGAGCGGGUUAUUAUGUUCUAAAAGGAAAGACUUGAGAGUGCGAAAAAUAGUUGCACUUCUUGAAUCAAGCGGCAGUUUCUCUAUGAACAGCAUUUCCUCACAAGGUUGAAGGUCUUCGCUGAAAUACCGAACAUAUACCAUCAUCAAACAUUGAUUGUUCACAACAGUUGACUCAUCCAUUUGUAUAGAAAAUUCAGAACGCUGGAGAAUAUUAAUGAGCUGAUGUUUGACAUCGUUGGCCAUUUCAUUGAUGCAUCGAGAAAAUGUGUUAUUACUAAGUGAGAUCUUCUUCAUAAUGUUAUCGGAUUUUUCGUACAUAACGGUUGACAAAACCUCUUUGAUAACUGGGCGAAGUAAUGUUUCUCCAAUUGUGUGAAACUUCCCAGACUUAGCAAUAAGCAAUGCAAUGUUGUACGAUGCAAUCAACCCGUUAUUCUCCUGUUCAUUUGUUUCCUGGAGUAGCGUGUUGAAUGUUUGUAUUUACUUUUUGAAAGAGGAGCUCACUUGCAAAAAGUAUGAUAACAGCUUGUCUUCCUUGUCAGAAUGCUUUGUAUGAAAGUGAUACUUCAAGCGUGAAGGUUUCAUUGCUUCGUUAGUCAAUCUUUGAUGGCAAAGAAGGCGCAUAGAAGGCACAUUGUAACUGACAGUUCUGAGGAGAGGGGAUUAAUCCAAACGAUAAGUAAUCACUACUGUACUGUCAACAAAUUUUCUUGACUGGAGGCAUGAGUAAAGAGAAAAUGUGAAAACGAAUUUCUACAGAUGGCGUCAGAAAGGCAGUAUGGUAUUCCCAAAGAGAAGAAGUCAAUAGGGCAGAUAGAUAACACGUCUUUACUGGGGCAAAUAUGGAUCUAGUUCGUUUGGUUGCCAGCAUUUCAAAAUUACUGGACUGCGAUCUAGCUGGGGCACCACCUUCAAGAAUUUUUAGUCGAAUGAAUCGGCCCCAGUACUUUUUUUAAAGCUUGGUACUUAUUCUAUCGGAGACUUAAGCCGAACCGCUUUUUGUUUAGUUCAGGAAAUUAAAGCACGUUAACACUUCAAAACUUGCUUGCCCUCAUCUUCUGAAUUAAGUGAUGAUAGAUAAAAACAAAACAGUCAACACACAUAGAUCAUAAUUGAAAUAAACCAAACAAAAUCUCAUGAACUGUGAAACAAUUGUAAAUCCAGGGAUGAUGAAUUUUUGUAAUUACAGCAUCAUUCAUAUAAUCCCGGUGGCUACAACAAAAACGUGGCAACAACGUGCUGUUGUUACUAUUUAAUCCAAAAGAUGAAGCCGAGAAAGGUUUGAAAUAUCAAUUGACUUAGAAAGACCAUAGCUGUAAAAUAUAAAAGGACGAAAUAAGGCAAAAUGAAAAUUUAUUAGUAAAAAAAUUAAAUUUGUA